AUGGUCAGCGUCAUCAGACGCUGCCCGUUGUCCCUGGCGAUCAUGAACUGGCCCUUCACCGAAUCCGCGUACCAGGCGUCCGUGACCCUGCUGGAGUGCGGGGGCAACCUCCAGCUCCCCGGGGAGUCCCUGCGCCUCCUCUGCCGAGGGUCUGGGUUCAGUUUCGGGAGUUUUGGAAUGUUCUGGAUCCACCAGAGACCCGGGCAGGGGCUGGAAUUCGUUGCUGGGAUCAAUGCUGAUGAUAUCAGCAACACUGGUGGCUACACCGAGUACGCGCCGUCGGUCAAGGGCCGGUUUACGAUCUCCAGGGACAACGGGCAGAGCUCGGUGACACUGACCGUGAACAACCUCAAGGACGAGGACUCCGGAUCCUAUUUCUGUGCCAAAAGUAGUGGCCUCAGGGAGGCCGUGACCCUGCUGGAGUGCGGGGGGGACCUCCAGCCCCCAAGGGGAGUCCCUGACGCUGGUGUGCCACGCCUCUGGCUUCAAUUUCGCAAAAUCUGCAAUGUUCUGGAUCCACCAGAGACCUGGGCUGGGCCUGGAAUACGUUGCGGGGACCAACGGUGA